CUGAACUGGAGGGAUUCUGAAGGACAAGCCUGUCAGCAGAGAGAAGCUCUUGGCUGCAACCCAGGAAGAAGGAUUUAAAGCCAACAGACAAAAGGUUCAAUUAGUGCAACAAGAGCUUUCAACAUCCUCAAAGGCAUCUAAUUGUUCAGGACAUACUGAGGAUCUGCACUUAGAGAAAUCAGGCCUGGAGUGGAACUCCCCUGAAAGCAAAGGCACCGGGAAGCCAAGAUUAGUUUUCAGCAAGAAUCGUGGUGCCAUUCUUCCCCAAAGCUUCUGCAUCCCAUUCUCCCCUUCCAUCAUGCUCCAAAGGAGAUGCCUCAGCCCCACCAAGGCCAACAGCAUACCCCUGCAAAUGGAGAACUGCUCACAGAAAACAACAGCCCAGGUGAAUG
rnacentral:lncRNA from 14 species